GAUGAACGCUGGCGGCGUGCUUAACACAUGCAAGUCGAACGAAGCACUUUAUUUGAUUUCCUUCGGGGCUGAUUAUUUUGUGACUGAGUGGCGGACGGGUGAGUAACGCGUGGGUAACCUGCCUUGUACAGGGGGAUAACAGUUGGAAACGGCUGCUAAUACCGCAUAAGCGCACGGCAUCGCAUGAUGCAGUGUGAAAAACUCCGGUGGUAUAAGAUGGACCCGCGUUGGAUUAGCUAGUUGGUGAGGUAACGGCCCACCAAGGCGACGAUCCAUAGCCGACCUGAGAGGGUGACCGGCCACAUUGGGACUGAGACACGGCCCAAACUCCUACGGGAGGCAGAAGUGGGGAAUAUUGCACAAUGGGCGAAAGCCUGAUGCAGCGACGCCGCGUGAGCGAAGAAGUAUUUCGGUAUGUAAAGCUCUAUCAGCAGGGAAGAUAAUGACGGUACCUGACUAAGAAGCACCGGCUAAAUACGUG
rnacentral:rRNA from 1 species